CUUGCAGAUGAAUUAGCCAUGCUGAAGCAAGUAAAUGAGUUUGCUGCAAAGGGUCUCAGUCCUCCAAGAAAGAAUGGAUUUGCCAGGGCAUCCUCCAUGUCACCAAAUGCAAGAAUGAUCAGAAUAGCUUCACUUGAGAACAUGCUGAGUAUAUAAUCUAAUUCACUUGUUGCAAUACCUUCUAAACUUUCUGAGGCAGAAGAACGAGAAAGAGCCAUCUCUAAUCGUGGACGCUGGAAUCAAUUGCGUUUAUUGGGAGAAGCGAAGAAUUUGCUUCAAUAUAUGUUUAAUUCUGCUGCACAUGCUAGGUGCCAACUCUGGGAGAAGGACAUGGAGAUAAGGGAAAUGAAAGAUCAAAUAAAAGAACUUGUUGGUCUCUUACGCCAAAGUGAGAUGAAGAGAAAAGAAG